GGGCGGGUGGCUCAGUUGGCAGAGCGUUCGCUUCGCAUGCGAAAGGUCCCCGGUUCGACCCCAGGCCCGUCCA